UCGAAUACAAGGAAGAAGAGGAAACCGAAGGAUUUUCGGAGCUUGGGCUGAAGGCUGUUGGGGCUAGAGCUUGUUUUUAUCCCCUGUCUGAUCCUCUCGAUAGUCUGCGGAUUAUAUAGGGAAAUUAAUCCCAUUAAUUAGAUGUGAAACUUCCCAAGAAAGAAGGGGAAACUUUGAUGAGUUUUCAUCGAGUCUCCGGGGUGCAGCUGCCGUGGUAUGAGAGGAAGAAGAGUGAAGACCAAAAUCCUCGUUUCUUCUUUUAGAAGAAGAAGGAACUGCUGCAGGUAAAUUCAGAAGGAAAGAGGAGGAAUCUUCCUUGGCUUAUACUAGGAAAUUAGGAGGAAA
rnacentral:lncRNA from 1 species